rnacentral:rRNA from 1 species
GACGAACGCUGGCGGCAUGCCUAAUACAUGCAAGUCGAGCGAACAGAUGAAGUGCUUGCACUUCUGACGUUAGCGGCGAACGGGUGAGUAACACGUAAGGAAUCUACCUAUAAGCGGGGGAUAACAUUCGGAAACGGGUGCUAAUACCGCAUAAUAUCUUCUUCCGCAUGGAAGAAGAUUGAAAGACGGCUCUGCUGUCACUUAUAGAUGACCUUGCGGUGCAUUAGUGAGUUGGUGGGGUAACGGCCUACCAAGACGAUGAUGCCUAGCCGACCUGAGAGGGUGAUCGGCCACAUUGGGACUGAGACACGGCCCAAACUCCUACGGGAGGCAGCAGUAGGGAAUCUUCCGCAAUGGGCGAAAGCCUGACGGAGCAAUGCCGCGUGAGUGAAGAAGGCCUUCGGGUCGUAAAACUCUGUUAUAAGAGAAGAACAAAUUGUAGAGUAACUGCUACAGUCUUGACGGUAUCUUAUCAGAAAGCCACGGCUAACUACGUGCCAGCAGCCGCGGUAA